rnacentral:rRNA from 1 species
UUAGUGGAACUUCUGAGUAUAAAAAACAAAUAAAUCAAAACUUUCAACAACGGAUCUCUUGGUUCUGGCAUCGAUGAAGAACGCAGCAAAAUGCGAUAAGUAAUGUGAAUUGCAGAAUUCAGUGAAUCAUCGAAUCUUUGAACGCACAUUGCGCCCGCCAGUAUUCUGGCGGGCAUGCCUGUUCGAGCGUCAUUUCAACCCUCAAGCCCAGCUUGGUGUUGGGAUCUGUGUGCAAACACAGUCCCCAAAUUGAUUGGCGGUCACGUCGAGCUUCCAUAGCGUAGUAAUUUACACAUCGUUACUGGUAAUCGUCGCGGCCACGCCGUUAAACCCCAACUUCUGAAUGUUGACCUCGGAUCAGGUAGGAAUACCCGCUGAACUUAAGCAUAUCAAUAAGCGGAGGA